GAUGAACGCUGGCGGCGUGCCUAAUACAUGCAAGUCGAGCGAACAGACGAGGAGCUUGCUCCUCUUACGUUAGCGGCGGACGGGUGAGUAACACGUGGAUAACCUACCUAUAAGACUGAGAUAACUUCGGGAAACCGGAUCUAAUACCGGAUAAUAUAUUGAACCGCAUGGUUCAAUAGUGAAAGACGGUUUUGCUGUCACUUAUAGAUGUAUCCGCGCCGCAGUAGCUAGUUGGUAAGGUAACGGCUUACCAAGGCAACGAUGCGUAGCCGACCUGAGAGGGUGAUCGGCCACACUGGAACUGAGACACGGUCCAGACUCCUACGGGAGGCAGCAGUAGGGAAUAUUGGGCAAUGGGCGAAAGCCUGACGGAGCAAAGCCGCGUGAGUGAUGAAGGUCUUCGGAUUGUAAAACUCUUUUAUUAGGGAAGAACAAAUGUGUAAUUAACCAUGCACGUCUUGACGGUACCUAAUCAGAAAGCAACGGCUAACUACGUG
rnacentral:rRNA from 1 species